GACAGAGGGUGCAAACGUUGUUCGGAAUUACUGGGCGUAAAGCGCGUGUAGGCGGCCCUGCAAGUCGGGUGUGAAAUCCCACGGCUCAACCGUGGAAGUGCAUUCGAAACUGCAGGGCUGGAGUCCUGGAGAGGAAGGCGGAAUUCUCGGUGUAGAGGUGAAAUUCGUAGAUAUCGAGAGGAACACCGGUGGCGAAGGCGGCCUUCUGGACAGUGACUGACGCUGAGACGCGAAAGCGUGGGGAGCAAACAGG
rnacentral:rRNA from 1 species